rnacentral:rRNA from 1 species
UACGUAGGUGCGAGCGUUAAUCGGAAUUACGUGGGACGUAAAGCGUGCGCAGGCGGUUAUGUAAGACAGUUGUGAAACGUCCCCGGGCUCAACCGUGGGAAUUGCAUCUGUGACUGCAUAGCUAGAGUACGGUAGAGGGGAUGGAAUUCCGCGUGUAGCAGUGAAAUGCGUAGAUAUGCGGAGGAACACCGAUGGCGAAGGCAAUCCCCUGGACCUGUACUGACGCUCAUGCACGAAAGCU